AUUUUAUAGGGAGAAUGUUUGGUUGAAAAUGAUUUGGGGAAAAAUGAGUUUUAAAGAAUUUGUACCAAAGAGGGGCGAAAUGCAAGUUUAGCAAAUGCUAUUUUUAAUUUUUACCCAAUUUUAUGGUUUCAUCCUGUAUGCGAAGGCUAUAGUCAUGGAUCUGUCAUAGUAAUGAUUAGUAGAAGCCAUUUUCUAUUUCCAGUCUGUCUUAAGGAAGAUGAUUUCUUGUUCAUUUUGGCUAUGCUUUCUGGUUUCUUUCAAUUGCUAUUUACUUUCUCCUAAAGAUGCUUAUAUGAUAAUGAAAGAAUUUAAAACCAGCUAUGCAGACAUAAUAGACUAAUGUUGUUUUUUAAAUAGUAAGAUAUUCUGUGUUACUUUAAUUUGAAUUAAUUGUGUUAAUGAAAUGUUAUGUGUUUUAGAUGUGGGAAGAUUUGAUAAAGAAGGCUAAAGGAGGUCUGGAUAUGAUUGAAACUUUUGUAUUUUGGAAUGUUUACGGGCUUCUCCUGACAAUGUACUUUGAUUUUUCUUGGAUUUAUGUUUGAAUUUGUACUUAUUUUACUCAUCUUUCUUAUACUUCAUUUUGGGCUGAAAACACAUAUGAUACUUUCGAAGUUAGCCGAGAAAAUCUAAAGCUACUUUACACCGCAGAUAAAGGAAAUCUCAUGCGUUACAUAAACAGAAGAAACUCAUUAAGUUAUUUUGUUGAAGCUUUAAUUUAAUUGAACAUGUCCUAAAUGUAAUCUUCCAUCUUUUCCCUUGUAGUUUUCUACUUUUCUUCACCAAAAUGAGGAUAAAAAAUGUGCUUCUUACUUGACAAUGUUUUCUCACUGAAAUACAUUAUUUGAAUUUUGCUUUGAACAUUGUUCCUGGUGUCUGUUGUGAGGAGAAUCGUAAAAUGUUUUCAUACUGCAUUAUACCAAAAAUCUGACAAGAGGGUACUGGUAAAGCAAAUGUGUACCAUGGAUUUCUUUGGCACAUAAUGCUGAUGAGUAUGUUUUCUAAUUCACCCUUGAAGGUUGUCGCUUGUACUGAAGAAUCAUAUAGUUACUACUCUUGCUAUAACAGUACUGAUGGAGUUUUCCAGGUGGUGUUGUUUCUUGUUGAAACUGAUAAUGCCUUUUAAGUUUUGUGUUCUUUUCUUGGUCUCUGUAUGCCAAAAUUAUUAAUUUACUCGUGUAUGUUUACAAGUUCAUUACAUGAUUGAUAACUAUAUGGAGUUUUUGUAAAUAUACAGAAAGGCAGCGGGCUGAUUCAUGAUGUUCUAUAAACGCUUUUCUCCAAUGAACAAACAAAGUGACUGUAUGCAGAUAACUGAAGUGAGGAGUUCUGGUUACCUUUUCUAUUAUGUAAUAUGAGGAAAGGCAUCUGGGGCAUAUGGUCGAUCCAGUUUAAUCUCCAGAGGAACUUUCUGCUUUCCACACAAAUGGUACGUUUCCAGUUAAACCAAAAUCCAGAUUGGCCGUUGCUGUGAUUACGUAAUUGCAUGGCAUAUUUGUCAUUGGGGAAUAAACUUAAGUGUGUGAAAAUCUUUGUUCUGGAAGUUUCUGGUGCCUGGUUAUAUUGGAUUCAAUGCAGAUCACUUAAACUGCCAUCAAUAACCAGCACGAGCAUGGAUUUGUUGGCAGCAUUGUGAGAUGUACUUGCGCAAAUGGAUACUGUUUAUUGUUUUCUUGCUGCAUGGAAGAGUGAAAAACUUGGUUGGGGAAUUGCUGCUUGCAACACUGUUCUUCCAGACAAGUUGAUCAUUGAAUUGAUUAGAAACUGGAUUCAUGGAAAGCUUUGAUCAAUAUUCAGGUAUAAGAUUGGCUGUUGCUGUAAUUAUGUAUCUGCGUGGAUAUUUGUCCUUGAGGAAUAAACAUACAUGUUUGAAAAUCUUGUUCCGGAAGUUGCUGGUGCCUGGUUAUCUUGGAUUCAAUGCAGAUCACUUAAACUCCCAUCAAUAAUGAGCAGCACAAACAUAGAUUUGUUGGCAGCAUUAUGAGAUGUACUCACUCAAGUGGAUACCAUUAAUCGUUUUCUUGCUUCAGAGAGGAGUGAGAAAUUUUUUUUGGGGAAUUGCUGCCUGCAACACUGUUCUUCCAGACAAGUUGAUUGAUCCUUGAAUUGAUUAGAAACUGGAUUCAUGGAAAUCUUUAAUCAAUAUUCAGGUAUAAGGUAUUGACAUCUUAGCACCGUUGUUUUAUACAUUUUUGGACAGUUGAUAAAUACUAUGAAGUUCUAGCUUUCUUGGAUCAUAAGUGCCAUUAGUGGAAAGAAAGGAAAUGAAAAAUUCAAUACUCGCAAACUCAGCUGUAAAUUUGUAAUGCUCUGAUUUGUAUGAAAUAAUAGAUUUUAAUUCUAAUCUAUUCAUGUGCAAUAA